GGUCAAGAAGAGAAGCGCAAACGGUGGAUGCCUUGGCAGUAAGAGGCGAAGAAGGACGUGGAAUCCUGCGAAAAGCUAUGGGGAGCUGGAAACGAGCGUUGAGCCAUAGAUGUCCGAAUGGGGGAACCCGGCUGCAGCGAUGCGGUCAUUUGCAUUUGAAUACAUAGGAUGCAAAGGCGAACUCGGGGAACUGAAACAUCUAAGUACCCGAAGGAAAAGAAAUCAAGAGAGAUUCUCCAAGUAGCGGCGAGCGAACGGGGAGGAGCCUGGCGUGAUUUAUUAUUGAACUGAGUAGAACAAUUUGGGAAAGUUGGCCGAAGAGGGUGAAAGCCCCGUAUACGAAGGUUUGAUGAGGAACUAGGCACGCGAACAAGUAGGCCGGGACACGUGAAAUCCUGGUUGAAGAUGGGUGGACCAUCAUCCAAGGCUAAAUACUACUUACUGACCGAUAGUGAACCAGUACCGUGAGGGAAAGGUGAAAAGAACCCCGGAGAGGGGAGUGAAAUAGAAUCUGAAACCGUUUGCGUACAAGCAGUGGGAGCAUGGUUUAGGCUGUGUGACUGCGUACCUUUUGUAUAAUGGGUCAGCGAGUUACUUUCAGUGGCGAGGUUAACUGAAUAAGGGAGCCGUAGAGAAAUCGAGUCUGAAUAGGGCGAUAGUCGCUGGGAGUAGACCCGAAACCGGGCGAUCUAGCCAUGUGCAGGAUGAAGGUUGGGUAACACCAACUGGAGGUCCGAACCGGGUAAUGUUGAAAAAUUAUCGGAUGACGUGUGGCUAGGAGUGAAAGGCUAAUCAAGCCCGGAGAUAGCUGGUUCUCCCCGAAAGCUAUUUAGGUAGCGCCUCGUGAAUGAUUACUGGGGGUAGAGCACUGUUUCGGCUAGGGGGCUGUCAUGGCUUACCAAACCGAUGCAAACUCCGAAUACCGGCUAAUUGAAUCACGGGAGACACACGGCGGGUGCUAACGUCCGUCGUGGAGAGGGAAACAACCCAGACCGCCAGCUAAGGUCCCCAAGUACUAGUUAAGUGGGAAACGAUGUGGGAAGGCAUAGACAGCCAGGAGGUUGGCUUAGAAGCAGCCACCCUUUAAAGAAAGCGUAAUAGCUCACUGGUCGAGUCGGCCUGCGCGGAAGAUGUAACGGGGCUAAAACUAGUCACCGAAGCUGCGGAUGUGCGCGAAGGCGCACGUGGUAGGGGAGCGUUCUGUAGGCUGAUGAAGGUGCAUUGAGAAGUGUGCUGGAGGUAUCAGAAGUGCGAAUGCUGACAUGAGUAACGAUAAUGUGGGUGAAAAGCCCACACGCCGGAAGUCCCAGGUUUCCUGCACGACGUUAAUCGGAGCAGGGUGAGUCGGCCCCUAAGGCGAGGCUGAAGAGCGUAGUCGAUGGGAACCAGGUUAAUAUUCCUGGACUUUUUAUAAGUGGUGAAGUGGGGACGAAGAAGGCUAGGUGAGCCAGGCGUUGGUUGUCCUG
rnacentral:rRNA from 1 species